UACGUAGGGUGCAAGCGUUGUCCGGAAUUAUUGGGCGUAAAGAGCUCGUAGGCGGUCUGUCGCGUCUGCUGUGAAAACUCAGGGCUUAACCCUGAGCUUGCAGUGGGUACGGGCAGACUAGAGUGCGGUAGGGGAGACUGGAAUUCCUGGUGUAGCGGUGAAAUGCGCAGAUAUCAGGAGGAACACCUGCGGCGAAGGCGGGUUGCUGGGCUGACACUGACGCUGAUGCGCGAAAGCCAGGGAGCGAACGGG
rnacentral:rRNA from 1 species